GUGCUCACGUGAGCAGCACAUGUACAAAAUUGGAAUAAUACUGAGAAGGAAGAUCAGCAUGGUCCCCACACUAGGAUGAAACACAAAUUUAUGAAGUGUUUUAAAAGAAA